rnacentral:rRNA from 1 species
UACGUAGGUGGAUAAUUAAGUCAGAGGUGAAAUCCUGCAGCUCAACUGUAGAAUUGCCUUUGAUACUGGUUAUCUUGAGUCAUUAUGAAGUGGUUAGAAUGUGUAGUGUAGCGGUGAAAUGCAUAGAUAUUACACAGAAUACCGAUUGCGAAGGCAGAUCACUAAUAAUGUACUGACACUGAGGGACGAAAGCGUGGGGAGCGAACAGGAUUAGAUACCCUGGUAGUC